rnacentral:tRNA from 1 species
GGGUGUAUAGCUCAGUGGUAGAGGGCAUGUUUAGCAUGGAUAAGGUCCUGGGUUCAAGCCCCAGUACCUCCA